AUCGCAUACAAGCUGCUGUAGCAGAGGCUGAGGCGAGACUGGCCCUUACAACCGAAUCAAUAGACAGACAAAAUAGACGUGACCAGCAAGACAGAGAGUACGAAGAAGGGUUAAGAAGGGAUCAAGAGAGGG